AGAACCUGUACAAAGGGCAACAGCAAGUGAAAAACAAUUUGUCACGUGAGAGAUGGUUAUAAAUAUAAUGGCCAAGUAAACAAUCCUCAAAAGUGAGAAGAACAGCGCAGAGAUGAACUACUUGUUGUUUUUGGUGAUCCUCCUGGAGGUAUUUCAAGGUUCAGUGUUUGCUCGAACACGGGCUGCCAGCCGAGGUACGUGUAUCUAGAGCCCCGUUUACACGACAAGCGUUUUGGGUACGGCACUCUUAAAUUUAGGCACGCGGACCUAUAAAUUUCGGCACGGCACUCUUAAUUUUUGUCGUGUAAACGGUGACAAGAUAGGUCCGCGUGCCCAAAAUUUUUGGCGGGCCGAGACCAUCGCCAGAGGUAGUCUCGGCCCGCCAAAAAAGCAGCACGCGGACCCAAAAUUAAUUACGCAUGCGCUAUUGGCUUUUGCUUCGAAGUAACUAUACAAUAUCAAUAUGGCGUCUGCUGAAAAGAAAACGAGAGGCACGUUAUGGCCUGACAAUGCGACAAAAUGCCUAAUACAGUUGUGGUCGGAGGAGACAAUACAGGUUUCUUUAGAUUCCUGUAAAACAUCUCGUCAAACUUCCAGUGUUUACCAAAUAUUACUGGUGAGUAUUCAUGAAAAUUGUGAAUAUUUAAAGUUUUAUUUCUAUUCAAUGUUACCUAACCUAAUAGCCAUGCAUGUAAAUAGCGGGACAGAAUAUAUAGUUAACUAUCGUAUUCCCUCUAUAAUUUUAAGACCAUGUUUUAUACUGUUGUUGUUAAUAGUUACAGUAAUACACGGGGCAAUUUUUGCUGCAACGUGCAAUGCAAAUAUUUCGGAUACAGAGCCAUGUUAUAAAAAAGUAGUAAGUCACAUAGAAAGUGUGGGCAGGCCCGCUUUCUAUUCAGCCAACAAUUUCUUGACAUAACAUACUACCAAGGGAUGAAAAUUAAAGAAAUGGCAUGAAGAAUGUUGGCAGAUCGACUCACAAUUUCCCUGCCAUUCCUUUUUAGUUUUUAGAAACAUGGCUCUGUGUCAGAAAUUGCAUUGCAAUUUGCAACAAAAAUUACCUCGUGUAACAUGACUUUUAGCCUGGGGGCUUAAUAGAGGCUGGGACUAACUUUUUAAUAUUACUCAUCAUUUAAUUAAGAAGCAUUUCAAUACAUUUUACAGGUAAACCACAUGAACUGAUGUUCAAGUGUUCCUAACCCAUUUGGAAUUUUCCUAAUUAUAUAUACCAGUCCUGUAAUUUUCCUAAAACGUUGUUGCAAAUCCUUUGAAGUAAUUUGCAAUGUUCCUAAGCCAAUUAAAUGUCCCUCACUGCAGGUGCAGUUGCACUACCAUAG